rnacentral:rRNA from 1 species
UGGGGAACCUUGGACAAUGGGCGCAAGCCUGAUCCAGCCAUGCCGCGUGAGUGAUGAGGGCCUUAGGGUUGUAAAGCUCUUUUGCCGGGGACGAUAAUGACGGUACCCGGAGAAUAAGUCCCGGCUAACUUCGUGCCAGCAGCCGCGGUAAUACGAAGGGGACUAGCGUUGUUCGGAAUCACUGGGCGUAAAGCGCACGUAGGCGGAUUUGUAAGUCAGGGGUGAAAUCCCGAGGCUCAACCUCGGAACUGCCUCCAAAACUGGCGACCUGGAGCAAGAUAGAGGCGAGUGGAAUUCCGAGUGUAGAGGUGAAAUUCGUAGAUAUUCGGAGGAACACCAGUGGCGAAGGCGACUCGCUGGAUCUUUGCUGACGCUGAGACGCGAAAGCGUGGGGAGCAAACAGGAUUAGAUACCCGCGUAGUCCCUGAGCGGGCUGGCAAGGCGCAU